UUCAGGUCUACCCACCAGCUUUGAUCUGGAGGAGGGCAUCACGUAUGAACAGAUGCAGACUGUGAUUGAAGAAGUCCUAGAGGAAAGUGGGUAUUACAAUUUUACUUCUAACAGAUAUCACUCCUAUCCCUGGGGCAAAAAGAAUCACCCAACCAACAGAUGAAAAUGCUGCAUUUUAAAUGGAUGUGGUUUUCCCAGUCAAGUUCAAGUUCUGGACAUGAGGCACUACUGCAAGAUGCCCAGGGAUGGGGAGCUG